rnacentral:rRNA from 11 species
UAUGUCCUAGACAAUUCCUUCAAGGCACCAGAUCCUGUCUGAUCUUUGAAGCUAAGCAGAGUCAGCCCUGGUUAGUAUUUAGAUAGAGGCUGCCAAUGACAAAUUAAAAUGGGCAGAA